rnacentral:rRNA from 1 species
CCUACGGGAGGCUGCAGUGAGGAAUAUUGGUCAAUGGGCGGAAGCCUGAACCAGCCAAGUAGCGUGCGGGAUGAAGGCCCUACGGGUCGUAAACCGCUUUUGCACGGGGAUAACACCCUCCACUUGUGGAGGUCUGCAGGUACCGUGCGAAUAAGGGCCGGCUAAUUCCGUGCCAGCAGCCGCGGUAAUACGGAAGGCCCGAGCGUUGUCCGGAUUCAUUGGGCUUAAAGGGAGCGUAGGCGGGCGUUCAAGUCAGCUGUAAAAGCGCGCGGCUCAACCGCGCCCCGCAGUUGAAACUGGACGCCUUGAGUUCACAACAGGCAGGCGGAAUUCGUGGUGUAGCGGUGAAAUGCAUAGAUAUCACGAGGAACCCCGAUUGCGAAGGCAGCCUGCCGGGGUGCGACUGACGCUGAGGCUCGAAGGUGCGGGUAUCAAACAGGAUUAGAUACCCUAGUAGUC